AGCGAACGCUGGCGGCAGGCUUAACACAUGCAAGUCGAACGGGCAUAGCAAUAUGUCAGUGGCAGACGGGUGAGUAACGCGGGGGAACGUACCUGUUGGUUCGGAACAACACAGGGAAACUUGUGCUAAUACCGGAGAAGCCCUUACGGGGAAACAUUUCUCGCCGCAAGAUCGGACCGCGUCUGAUUAUCUAGUUGGUAGGUUAAUGGCCUACCAAGGCGACGAACAGUAUCUGGUCUGAGAGGCUGAUCAGCCACAUUGGGACUAAGACACGGCCCAAACUCCUACGGGAGGCAGCAGUGGGUGAUAUUGGAAAAUGGGCGGAGGCCUGAUCCAGCCAUGCCGCGUGAGUGAUGAAGGCCCUAGAGUUGUAAAGCGCUAUUGUGCGGGAAGAUAAUGACGGUACCGAAAGAAUAAGCCCCGGCUAACUUCGUG
rnacentral:rRNA from 1 species